GGAAUAUUGCGCAAUGGAGGAAACUCUGACGCAGUGACGCCGCGUAUAGGAAGAAGGUUUUCGGAUUGUAAACUAUUGUCCACAGGGAAGAUAAAAGACUGUACCUGCAGAAGAAGCCCCGGCUAACUACGUGCCAGCAGCCGCGGUAAUACGUAGGGGGCGAGCGUUAUCCGGAUUCAUUGGGCGUAAAGCGCGCGUAGGCGGGUGCCUAAGCGGGACCUCUAACCUCGGGGCUCAACCCCGAGCCGGGUCCCGAACUGGGCGCCUCGAGUGCGGUAGGGGAGAUCGGAAUUCCCGGUGUAGCGGUGGAAUGCGCAGAUAUCGGGAAGAACACCGAUGGCGAAGGCAGAUCUCUGGGCCGACACUGACGCUGAGGCGCGAAAGCUAGGGGAGCGAACAGG
rnacentral:rRNA from 1 species